AUGGGGGAGAUUUCAACGUUUGUUCAGAGGCAACCAGCGGCUAGACCAGGAAGGGUGACGAUUGGCAAAGCACCUGCACAGCGCGAGGCAAACCCAAACAGAAAGAGUGCUCUGGAGAUUUCGAUGAGAGCUUUCGUAACAAAGAAGAAUGGAAAUGUUGUUAACCCAGAGAUUGGUACUUCGUUCGAUUCUGUUGAUGAGGCCUAUGAGUUUUAUAACUUGUAUUCCUGGGAAGUUGGUUUUGGAAUAAGGUAUGCCAAGAGCAGACUUAAUGUCAACCUAUCAAAGUGCAUGCAGGAGAUUGUGUACGGGUGUGCGGAGAACAACAGGUCAACUAGGUGUGGGUGCAGUGCUAUGAUAAGGCUACUAAGGUCAGAUGACAAUGGAUGGUAUAUAUCUGAGCACAAAGCGGAACAUAAUCACACUCUGUCGAGAACAUGUGGGGAGAAGAUGCAUUGGAAGUCGCAUAGGCACAUUGGCCGUUACACACAAGAUUUGGUGAAGCAACUUAGGCAGAAUAAUGUGAGUCUCGGUAAGGUCUUCAGUAUUGUUGGUAGUUUCUUCGGCUCUGUUGAGAAUGUUCCUUUUACUAAGAGGUCGUUGAAAACACUAUGCCGUAAGAUAAACAAGGAGCAAUCGGAUUCAGAUGCAAGGAAAACGAUGGAAAUCCUUGCAGAAAUGAAGGCAAAUGACCCAGAAUUCAACUAUGCAAUACAAGUUGAUGAGGAAAGUAGGAUAAAAACACUUAUGUGA
rnacentral:rRNA from 1 species